rnacentral:rRNA from 1 species
AGAGUUUGAUCCUGGCUCAGGAUGAACGCUAGCGGCAGGCCUAAUACAUGCAAGUCGAACGGAUGUAGCAAUACAUUAGUGGCGCACGGGUGCGUAACGCGUAUGCACCUCCUUUCAGUGGGGGAUAGCCCGGGGAACCCGGAUUAAUACCGCAUAAGAUAGUUGACUGGCAUCAGUUAACUAUGAAACAUUUAUGGCUGAAAGAUGGGCAUGCGUUAGAUUAGCUAGUUGGUGAGGUAGCAGCUCACCAAGGCGAUGAUCUAUAGGGGUUCUGAGAGGAAGAUCCCCCACACUGGUACUGAGACAGGGACCAGACUCCUACGGGAGGCAGCAGUAGGGAAUAUUGGGCAAUGGAGGCAACUCUGACCCAGCCAUGCCGCGUGCAGGAAGAAGGCCUUCUGGGUUGUAAACUGCUUUUGGAAGUGAACAAAAAGACACUGCGGUGUAAAUUGAGUGUAGCUUCAGAAUAAGCACCGGCUAACUCCGUGCCAGCAGCCGCGGUAAUACGGAGGGUGCAAGCGUUGUCCGGAUUUAUUGGGUUUAAAGGGUGCGUAGGCGGCUACUUAAGUCAGGGGUGAAAGACGAUUGCUUAACAAUCGCAGUGCCUUUGAUACUGAGUAGCUUGAGUACAGAUGAGGCAGGCGGAAUGGGUGGUGUAGCGGUGAAAUGCAUAGAUACCAUCCAGAACACCGAUUGCGAAGGCAGCCUGCUAAACUGUAACUGACGCUGAGGCACGAAAGCGUGGGGAUCGAACAGGAUUAGAUACCCUCGUAGUCC